AUUGAACGCUAGCGGCAUGCCUUACACAUGCAAGUCGGACGGCAGCGCGGGCUUCGGCCUGGCGGCGAGUGGCGAACGGGUGAGUAAUACAUCGGAACGUACCCAGUAGCGGGGGAUAACUACGCGAAAGCGUAGCUAAUACCGCAUACGGCGUACGGGGGAAAGGGGGGGAUCUUCGGACCUCUCACUAUUUCAGCGGCCGAUGUCGGAUUAGCUAGUUGGUGGGGUAAAGGCCUACCAAGGCGACGGUCCGUAGCUGGUUUGAGAGGACGACCAGCCAAACUGGGACUGAGACAAGGCCCAGACUCCUACGGGAGGCAGCAGUGGGGAAUUUUGGACAAUGGGGGCAACCCUGAUCCAGCCAUGCCGCGUGUGCGAAGAAGGCCUUCGGGUUGUAAAGCACUUUUGGCGGGAAAGAAAUGGCUCUGGUUAAUACCCGGGGUCGAUGACGGUACCCGCAGAAUAAGCACCGGCUAACUACGUGCCAGCCGCCGCGGUAACAC
rnacentral:rRNA from 1 species